rnacentral:lncRNA from 1 species
CCAUUUUUAAAAUGAGUCAUUUUUAAUUGUUUUUUGUAUAUUUGGGAUGCAACUCUUUUAUCAGAUAUGCGUUUUGAAAAUAUUUUCUCUUAGUAUGUGGCUUGUUUUUACCUUUUUUUUCUGUUCUUUCACAGAAGUUUUUAAUUUGUUAUCGAAUACUAUUUAUUGUCUAUGGAGGUGAUUACUAUUUUUCUAGUGUAUUGCAGUCUUGUACUAUCUUGCCUAACUUCAUCUUAUCUUAAGUGUAUACAUAUGCUUGCUUGGGCUCAAUGCCUGGGG